GACGAACGCUGGCGGCGUGCUUAACACAUGCAAGUCGAACGCGCCUGUCCUCUGGGUUUCUGGGGGGUGGGUGAGUGGCGAACGGGUGAGUAACACGUGAGUAACCUGCCCCCUUCUUCGGGAUAACGGUCUGAAAGGGCUGCUAAUACCGGGUAUUCACUGGUCUCCGCAUGGGGUCUGGUGGAAAGGUUUUUUUCUGGUGGGGGAUGGGCUCGCGGCCUAUCAGCUUGUUGGUGGGGUGAUGGCCCACCAAGGCUUUGACGGGUAGCCGGCCUGAGAGGGUGAGCGGUCACAGUGGGACUGAGAUACGGCCCAGACUCCUACGGGAGGCAGCAGUGGGGAAUAUUGCACAAUGGGCGCAAGCCUGAUGCAGCGACGCCGCGUGAGGGAUGGAGGCCUUCGGGUUGUGAACCUCUUUCGCCCGUGGUCAAGCCGCGACGUGGGUCGUGGUGAGGGUAGUGGGUAAAGAAGCGCCGGCUAACUACGUG
rnacentral:rRNA from 1 species